rnacentral:pre_miRNA from 1 species
UACAUGUGACACCGUUCAUUUUUAAUUAAACGUUUGACCAUUUGUCUUAUUUAAAAAAUUUAUAUAAUUAUUAUUUAUUUUAUUGUGACUUGAUUCGUCAUUAAAUAUACUUUAAGUAUGACAUAAAUAUUUUCAUAUUUGCAUAAAAAUUUGCAAUAAAACGAAUGGUUAAACGUUGAUAAAAAAGUCAAUGGUAUCAUAUAUU